rnacentral:rRNA from 1 species
AGAGUUUGAUCCUGGCUCAGAUUGAACGCUGGCGGCAUGCUUUACACAUGCAAGUCGAACGGUAACAGGUCUUCGGAUGCUGACGAGUGGCGAACGGGUGAGUAAUGCACCCGAACGUGCCCAGUCGUGGGGGAUAACGCAGCGAAAGCUGUGCUAAUACCGCAUACGAUCUAUGGAUGAAAGCGGGGGAUCGCAAGACCUCGCGCGAUUGGAGCGGCCGAUGUCAGAUUAGCUAGUUGGUGGGGUAAAGGCCCACCAAGGCGACGAUCUGUAGCUGGUCUGAAAGGACGACCAGCCACACUGGGACUGAGACACGGCCCAGACUCCUACGGGAGGCAGCAGUGGGGAAUUUUGGACAAUGGGCGCAAGCCUGAUCC